rnacentral:misc_RNA from 1 species
UGUGUGUGUGUGUGUAGUCAUAAAUGUAGUGAUUACAAUCAAACUAAACACACUAGUCCUUAGGUAUACUUCAUCUAUCACUCUUUUUCGGUUAUAAGCAUAAGGAUUUUAUUAAUAGAGAAUAGGAGGGGGAAAAUCACCAAAAGAAGGAUCCCAGACCAACAGGUCUACCCCAUUACACCCUGAACUAGAAACUAACUUCUAAUGGUGAUGAAAAAAACCCCUUAAAAGAGCAACAAAUAAGACAACAAAACAAAACAAAGAAAAGAUACAAAACGAUAUGCACUAUAAAUCAGCUUUAGAAGAUUUGGGAACUGAUGACAUCAAUUAACGAUACAAAACAAGUAAAUGACUUUAGUAAAAUAUCAUAUGAAAAGUAAUAACAUGACAACAUAUAUUCUCUAAUGUGAUAAAUCAAGCUUUGUUGCCAAUGAGGAAGAAUAUGAAGAAAGGUGAUGACCGCCAAAAAGAAUAUGAUAAAAGUUACUGAAAAACUUACUAAGAAAACUCCAUGAUCUAUUUCAUACCAUUUCCCCUUGACUUCAUGUGUUGACUCCAUUUGUGAUGAAGGUGAUUCAGCAUUAUGAUCAUUGCAUUUUCUUUCCACUUGAGGUCCACAAAGAAAUGGGUUCCCUUCAUAGCUGUUACUUUCGAAUGUACUGAAUUGUCCUUUCAUGUCUGGAAUUCUGCCUGAUAAGUUGUUGUGAGCCACGCUAAAUACUUCUAGAAAGUUUAGAUCUAUCAAUUUUGAAGGAAUCUCUCCACUUAAAUUGUUAUAAGAGAGGUCUAAACUUUCUAUUUGUGAUAAAUUAGAGAAAGAUCUUGGAAUGGAUCCUGUCAAUCGAUUGUGUGAUAGGUUUAAUGCAUGAAUUUGGGACAGCUCUCCUAGCUUAAAUGGGAUUUCACCUGUUAGGCUAUUAGCUGACAAAUCUAAUCCAGACAUGUAGUUGAGAAUCUUAUUCUUAUACGUGCUACUUCUAUAUUUUGUAAAAAACUCAAUUUCUUCCUCAUUAUCAAAAUAAAUUGGGAAAGUAUCCAAGGGCUUAAAUCGUUCCAUGCUUCUCGGAAGUGAAAUGGGAAUGUUAUUUAAGAUCUCAUUGAUAGCUAAGAAACUUCUUUCUUCCCUUGCAAAGGACAUAUUAUGUAAGCAGUGGGGUAUGGACCCAGAAAAGGAGUUUCUUGAGAGAUCUAAUAAGCUGAUGUCAUUCAACUGACAUAACCAAUUUGGAAUGAAGCCACCUAAAUGAUUUGCUCCUAAUAAAAGAACUCUCAAGCCAUUCAGAAACUCACCAGUGUUAUUAGGAAUGGUGCCUGACAACUCGUUAUUGCUCAAGUCUAAUACCUUCAAUGUCGAAAUAUUGAGCAAAGCUUCUGGUAUUGAACCAAUGAAUCUGUUACCUUGCAAAUAUAUUUGUUCUAAAUAAUUUCCAUGGAAGAAAGAAGGUAAUGGCCCAGAAAAAUAGUUGUGAGAAAGGUCUAGGUUCUCUAUUGAAAGAAGUUCCCUUGAAAUAUGACCUUUAAAAAAAUUAUUAUGUAAAUUGAUGUAAUAUAGAUAUGUGAAGUUACCCAUCCAGUGUGGAAUCUCACCAUGCAAUCGGUUGUUGCUCAAAUCUAACCAUUGAAUCUCUGGGCUACGCAUUUGGUAACUAAAAUUAGGGAGUAAACUUGCUAGAGUUCCCUCAAAUUGGUUGUCAUUCAAUUGCAGAGCACUAAAUCGAGUGAUGUUAAAUAUCACUAUUUGACCGUGGAAGUUAUUAUAAGAUAGCUUCAGAAGUUUCAAGAAAAUGCAACUUGAAAGCAGUUCCUUCGGUACUUCCCCUGAGAAGUUGUUAUGAGACAAAUCUAAAGCCAUCAAUUUACAGUCAUCGCCAACAGCAAAAAGAAAAUCACCUUGAAAAUAAUUUCUGGCUAAAUUAAGAUAUCUCAUGUUCGGAAGCAUCUUUGUGCCAAUUUCUGGAAGCUGGCCAUUGAAAGAAUUAUUCUCAAGAUUUAGGGUCUG